rnacentral:rRNA from 1 species
UGGUACUUGUACCGACUGGAUGAGCAGCGAACGGGUGAGUAACGCGUGGGGAAUCUGCCUUUGAGCGGGGGACAACAUUUGGAAACGAAUGCUAAUACCGCAUAAAAACUUUAAACAUAAGUUUUAAGUUUGAAAGAUGCAAUUGCAUCACUCAAAGAUGAUCCCGCGUUGUAUUAGCUAGUUGGUGAGGUAAAGGCUCACCAAGGCGAUGAUACAUAGCCGACCUGAGAGGGUGAUCGGCCACAUUGGGACUGAGACACGGCCCAAACUCCUACGGGAGGCAGCAGUAGGGAAUCUUCGGCAAUGGACGAAAGUCUGACCGAGCAACGCCGCGUGAGUGAAGAAGGUUUUCGGAUCGUAAAACUCUGUUGGUAGAGAAGAACGUUGGUGAGAGUGGAAAGCUCAUCAAGUGACGGUAACUACCCAGAAAGGGACGGCUAACUACGUGCCAGCAGCCGCGGUAAUACGUAGGUCCCGAGCGUUGUCCGGAUUUAUUGGGCGUAAAGCGAGCGCAGGUGGUUUAUUAAGUCUGGUGUAAAAGGCAGUGGCUCAACCAUUGUAUGCAUUGGAAACUGGUAGACUUGAGUGCAGGAGAGGAGAGUGGAAUUCCAUGUGUAGCGGUGAAAUGCGUAGAUAUAUGGAGGAACACCGGUGGCGAAAGCGGCUCUCUGGCCUGUAACUGACACUGAGGCUCGAAAGCGUGGGGAGCAAACAGGAUUAGAUACCCUGGUAGUCCACGCCGUAAACGAUGAGUGCUAGAUGUAGGGAGCUAUAAGUUCUCUGUAUCGCAGCUAACGCAAUAAGCACUCCGCCUGGGGGAGUACGACCGCAAGGUUGAAACUCAAAGGAAUUGACGGGGGCCCGCACAAGCGGUGGAACAUGUGGUUUAAUUCGAAGCAACGCGAAGAACCUUACCAGGUCUUGACAUACUCGUGCUAUUCCUAGAGAUAGGAAGUUCCUUCGGGACACGGGAUACAGGUGGUGCAUGGUUGUCGUCAGCUCGUGUCGUGAGAUGUUGGGUUAAGUCCCGCAACGAGCGCAACCCCUAUUGUUAGUUGCCAUCAUUAAGUUGGGCACUCUAACGAGACUGCCGGUGAUAAACCGGAGGAAGGUGGGGAUGACGUCAAAUCAUCAUGCCCCUUAUGACCUGGGCUACACACGUGCUACAAUGGAUGGUACAACGAGUCGCGAGACAGUGAUGUUUAGCUAAUCUCUUAAAACCAUUCUCAGUUCGGAUUGUAGGCUGCAACUCGCCUACAUGAAGUCGGAAUCGCUAGUAAUCGCGGAUCAGCACGCCGCGGUGAAUACGUUCCCGGGCCUUGUACACACCGCCCGUCACACCACGGGAGUUGGGAGUACCCGAAGUAGGUUGC